rnacentral:rRNA from 1 species
CUUGUUUUAUGUUGGUGUAUAUCUGGUUUGAUAUUAUUGCUUUAAUAGCUUAAUUUGUGUAUAUUUAUUAUUUAAGCCAAGUCUAUGUGCUGCAUAUUCAAGAUUUCAUGCGUUACUAUAAUAAGGUUAGUUAUGAGUGUGGCUUAUUAUUUAGGACUUGAUAGUAAUAUAAUAUGAGUUUGUUUAUGUGAAAUUGGUUUAGCUUGGGUACACACCGCCCGUCAC